AUCCCCCGUGUCAGGCAGCGCGCCUGCAGUACACGCCCGCGCGCGCGGCGGAAGCCGGUGGCCCGGCUCGCCGGCAGAAGCUCCCGUCUUCUCCCGCCCCACCGCUACCGCCAUGGCAACGGCCGCAGGUCGCCUGGCCCCGUGUCCCGGAGGGGCUGCGAUCGCAACCGAACGUCUCCGGCACACUGGCGCCGCGGCCGGGCGGCCCUGCCAGCGUCGUCGGGAGCACUGAGGGCUGCUCAGCGGCACCAGCCCGGCGGGUUUUGCCCUGGCACAGCGACUCCGCGGAAGCCCCGCACCGAGAAUGCAGUGAGUCUGGAGGCGUGGUUCGGGAGGGGCUCGGUGCUGCCAGCGGGCCGCUGAGCCCGAAGUGUUAAUCUGGUGUUUGACAUCGCCGUAGGUGAUCGGCUGGAGAAACCAGUGGACAAAUCCAUCAGCCUUCUGUGCUGACACAGCUGCAUGUAGUCAGGAUUUGGUAAGGGGAACUGAGAUGAACUAUAGCAAGAAAAACAGUAUGAUGGAUUCAGAAAGUUCUGCCCCAGUGAAGGCAAAGGAGUACCUAAGCAACAAUGUAACAGCUACCUCUGGAAAACAUUAUCUUUGUGGCUGCUGUGCAGCCUUCACAAAUAUAGCAAUCACUUUUCCAAUCCAGAAGGUCCUCUUUCGACAGCAGCUGUAUGGUUUGAAAACAAAGGAUGCAGUACGUCAGCUGCAGAAGGAUGGGAUUCGAAAUCUCUAUCGUGGUAUUCUUCCUCCCUUAAUGCAGAAAACAACAACACUGGCUUUAAUGUUUGGUUUGUAUGAAGAUUUCUCCUCCCUGCUCCAUAGCCACACGAAUGCUCCUGAACUCAUCACUUGCAGCAUGGCAGCAGUGCUUGCGGGGACCACGGAAGCUGUUCUUACACCUUUUGAGCGAGUUCAGACUUUGCUUCAGGACUACAAACACCAUGAUAAAUUUACAAACACUUACCAGGCUUUCAAGGUACUGAAAGUCUAUGGGGUGAGAGAAUAUUAUCGGGGACUGGUGCCUAUUCUGCUCCGAAAUGGACCUAGUAAUGCACUCUUCUUUGGCCUACGGGGACCUAUUAAACAGUGUCUGCCUGAAGCAACUUCUUACAGCACUCAUUUGGUCAAUGACUUUAUCUGUGGGGGGCUGUUGGGUGCCAUGCUUGGAUUCUUGUUUUUCCCAGUGAAUGUUGUAAAAACUCGCAUGCAAGCUCAGAUUGGUGGUGAAUUUCAGUCCUUCUCAAAAGUUUUUGUGAAGAUCUGGCUGGAACGUGAUAGAAAACUAAUCCACCUUUUCCGAGGAGCCCAUCUGAAUUACCAUCGUUCUCUUCUGUCCUGGGGCAUAAUCAAUGCAACCUAUGAAUUCUUGCUAAAGCUGUCGUGAAAACCACUGUCUUCUUUUGGCUUCUCUGUUCAUGUGGUUAUUGGCACAUACGAUGUCACUUAAUCCCAGGAAACAGUGCCUGCAUAAUAUGAAAGGUAAUUAGUCUUGGCCUUCAAUAUUUAUGGAGUGAAUGGUGAUGCAUCUAAACCUUGGUGAAACUAAGGUGAACUUUUAAAAGUAUUUAUUUGCUGGCAGGUGAGUUUUCCCAUAAUGGAGCUAUUAAACAAAUAAAAGGUUUAAAACAAAAGAAAUUUAAAAAUACUUUUAUUAGUCCAGCAGCUUAUUCUGUAUCACUCCCAAAAUUUCUUAAUGCUUGGAUAGAAUGUGCUCCACUGUCCACACUGUAGAUCAUUAAAAUCAAGGACGGGCUGAUGAAAAUUGAUUCUCUUGCCUGAUAAAUGUCAAAAUCUCAAUUUAAGAACUGUAUUUCCAAAUGUUUUAGGGUCCUACGUACUUCUUACUGUUUAAAGCUAAAAGGACAGAUUCAAAUGGGGAUAACUGAAGUUUAGAACUUCAAACUUAAACUAAGCCUACGCAACUGUUUUUUGCCAGCUGUUUUGAUGCUUGGCUUUAAGACAAGUGUUUCAUUCAGCAGUGUAAGAGUGGUUACCAAAUGUUUUAAUUUCAGUGUAAACUGACUCCAGUUCAAAGCGGAAUCUGUGUAUAUGUACAUGUGUGCCUUCGUGUGAAAACGGAAAAGCGGAAGGAAUGAAAUGGCAAAUCUACUAACGCUUUAAAAUGUCCUUCCUUGUUAAAAAAACCUUGAACUUGUAAACAUGGAGUUUGUUCUACUUUUCGUGGUUGCUUGUUUGUUUGUUUGGUUUUGGUUUUUGGGGAUUUUUUUUUAUUGCUGCUUUUUCUGUUACUUGCAGCUAUGGGGCUAGAAAGAAGAUGCGCUUUCUGUAAUGCUCAUGAAAUGAGUUCUGCUUCCUGCAGCAGAGAGAGUAGUUCACAAACACAGCUCUUUGUUCUGAUGUAUCUUGACUCUAGCAAACUUUUGUUUCAUUUGAGCUGUGGAAUAAUGGAUCACAACAAGUUACUUGAACCUGAAGCUUGGUGUUCUGCCUGCUUGAUACAUACUCUUGAUGGUUCUGUAAGGCAGAAUUGUAUAGCAGCAUUGUCAAGAUGAGGCUUCUGGGUAUUACUGACUUAAGUGGAGGUCUUUAAGUGUAGCAGAGAUAACACCAAAGAUUACCUUAGAAGCAACUAAAUAGGAAAGAUUCAGUGUUUGGAGAUGUGUUUAAGGACUUCUGUAGGUGAGUAUUGAAAAAGACUUAGAGAAACAGGAAGUAUUGUGCAUCUUACAGACUUGGGAGUUGAGAGAUAAGACUUGAGGCCUUAGAGGAAGGGACAGAAGAGUAAGCAUGACCAUAAAACAGGCGAGGGUCUCAACAAAAAGCAUUUGAUUUUCCUGGGGGACUUUAUUUUAUGAAACUCUGUAUGUAAAAUGAAAUAUUUUGAAUGAUGAGGGGCAGGAAAGCUUUUAGAAACCGGUCUGAAUUGGUCUUUUCAUAAGGUUUGAAUGGCUAUUACUUUUUAAAAUUUGAGUUUUCCAUUUGCUAAACUGUCCCAAAACAUUGAUUCUAAUCAGUGUGUUAUAGUAUAGUCCCUAGCUUGACAGUCAGAAAUGGCCAGGCACAAGUGAGCAUCUUGUAUCUGAAUGUUGUGAUUAUCUGCAUUUAAAUAAAAUAUUUACUGAAUGUU